AUGCGCUCUUGCGGCAAAUUUGACCAUGUUCUUUUUUAUGUGCAGUUGGACGAUGCCAGUUGUAGGCACACUGGAGGUAUUGGUGGUUGUCUGCUCGCACUUUCCAUAUGGAGCUGGGAGCGUUUGCCGGUUGGACGACCUAAGACCGUGAAGUGCGAGGAUUGGGACGAUAAAGACGACCCACUACGGCUCCCCACUUGGGCUUACAAGUGGGAUGUGUUAAAUGAGACGACGGAUGAUCCCUCUGUAAUGUACAAGUUGUACAAGAGCGAGCUGGACGCGAUCACGCCUGAGCAGGUGAACCGACCUUGCAUAAGUGAUUAG
rnacentral:rRNA from 1 species